AGUGACAUCGCCGCAGACAAACAUGUGGCCUCGUUCGAGGCACAGCACGCGGUGCACCUCAGCGGCCAGCUCUGUCCGCAGGAUGUCCUGCACGCACUGGUGUGGCAGAAGGUAGACCGCAUGCCAGCUACUGAGCAGGUUUUCCACUGAGAGGACUGUGGCUUGGAACAUCUUCCGUCUGUGCACGUGGAUCAGGCCUGGGGAGGGGGCAGACGAGGCUGAGCCUAAGGCAGGGAGGCUGCUGUGCCUGCAGG